UCAAGCUACAAAGAGCGUAAGGGGAAUGCCUUGGCACCAGGAGCCGACGAAGGACGCAGCGAUCUGCGAAAAGCCACGGGGAGCCGAAAGCAGGCUUUGAUCCGUGGAUAUCCGAAUGGGGAAACCCGCAUGGUUAAUAGCCAUGCGACGUAUACUGAAUAAAUAGGUAUGCGUCGGGAACCGUCUGAACUGAAACAUCUAAGUAGGACGAGGAAAAGAAAUCAACCGAGAUUCCGUAAGUAGUGGCGAGCGAACACGGAAGAGGCCAAACCGAAGGUAGCAAUAUCUUCGGGGUACGGACAGUAAACGGCAUUGCGGUAUCUUAGCAGAAGUGCAUGGGACGGCACACCAUAGAGAGUGAUAGUCUCGUAAGCGAAAAGAGAAGGCAGCCAACUGUAUCCAGAGUACCGCCGGACACGUGAAACCCGGUGGGAACAUGGGGGGACCAUCCUCCAAGCCUAAAUACUCCCUGGUGACCGAUAGAGAACAGUACUGUGAAGGAAAGGUGAAAAGAACCCCGGGAGGGGAGUGAAAAGAACCUGAAACCUUAUGCUUACAAGCACCGAGAGCCCAUCAAAGGGUGAUCGGGUACCUUUUGUAGAAUGGUCCGGCGAGUGAAUGUAACUGGCAAGGUUAAGCACUUCAGGUGUGGAGCCGAAGCGAAAGCAAGUCUUAAUAGGGCGUCAAGUCAGUUGUAUUCGACCCGAAACCGUGUGACCUAGCCAUGAGCAGGCUGAAGUGGAGGUAAAACUCCAUGGAGGGCCGAACCCACUCCCGUUGAAAUGGUAGGGGAUGACUUGUGGCUAGCGGAGAAAUUCCAAUCGAACUCGGAGAUAGCUGGUUCUCUCCGAAAUAGCUUUAGGGCUAGCCUCGAUUUGACAUUACCGGAGGUAAAGCACUGAAUGGGCUAGGGGCCGAGAGGUUACUGAACCCUAUCAAACUAAGAAUGCCGGAUAAUGAUAAUCGGGAGUCAGACAGUGUGAGAUAAGUUUCAUUGUCAAAAGGGAAACAGCCCAGACCCACAGCUAAGGUCCCAAAGUACAGUUAAGUGGUGAAGGAUGUGGAAUUGCAUAGACAACCAGGAUGUUGGCUUAGAAGCAGCCACUCAUUAAAAGAGUGCGUAAUAGCUCACUGGUCGAGUGAUUCUGCGCCGAAAAUUUAACGGGGCUAAAUUGUACACCGAAGCUUGGGAUACAUCUAAUGUAUGGUAGGAGAGCGUUGUAUACGGGGUGAAGUCAGAGCGGAAGCGCUGGUGGACUGUAUACAAGUGAGAAUGCCGGAAUGAGUAGCGAGAAUUAUGUGAGAAUCAUAAUGGCCGAAAGACUAAGGUUUUAGAAGGAAGGUUCGUCCGCUUCUAGUCAGCCGGGAGCUAAGGCGAGGCCGAAAGGCGUAGUCGAUGCACAUACGGUGGAGAUUCCGUAGCCGCCAUUAAUUUAAACAGAGGGACACUUUCAAGGGGCAUGACCCGGGCGUUGGUAGACCCGGGCGUAAGGGACCGAAGAUUAGUAGGGAAGCAUGCUUUAAGGAAGGCGAGAAAAGCUCUGUGUAUAGAAGAUGGCGCCCGUACCGCAAACCGACACAGGUAGUCAGGAAGAGAAUUCUAAGGCCAACGGGAGAAGGGUAGUUAAGGAACUCGGCAAAUUGACCCCGUAACUUCGGAAUAAGGGGUGCUCACGAGAGUGAGCCGCAGUGAAUAGGUCCAGGCGACUGUUUAUCAAAAACACAGCUCUCUGCUAAAUCGAAAGAUGACGUAUAGGGGGUGACACCUGCCCGGUGCUGGAAGGUUAAGAGGAAGGGUGCAAGCUCUGAAUUGAAGCCCCAGUAAACGGCGGCCGUAACUAUAACGGUCCUAAGGUAGCGAAAUUCCUUGUCGGGUAAGUUCCGACCCGCACGAAUGGUGUAACGAUCUGGGCACUGUCUCAACUACCCACCCGGCGAAAUUGUAGUACCGGUGAAGAUGCCGGUUACCCGCGGCAAGACGGAAAGACCCCAUGGAGCUUUACUGUAACCUGAUAUUGGGUUUCGGUAUUUUAUGUACAGGAUAGGUGGGAGACUAUGAAACUAAGGCGCCAGCCUUAGCGGAGUCGCCCUUGGGAUACCACUCUUAAAGUACUGAAAUUCUAACCUGCGGCCGUGAAUCCGGUCGGGGGACAUUGUCAGGCGGGCAGUUUGACUGGGGCGGUCGCCUCCAAAAGAGUAACGGAGGCGCUCAA
rnacentral:rRNA from 1 species